CCUGUAUGAACGGCUAAAUGAGGACAAACCUGUCUCUUAUAACCAAUCAGUGAAACUGAUCUCCCAAUACAAAAGUUGGGAUGUACACAUAAGACGAGAAGACCCCGUGGAGCUUAAAACAAACUACCAAUCUAAACGACCCUGGUAUGCUGUUUUGAGUUGGGGCGACUUCGGAACAAAACAAAACUUCCGAGCACAGAACCACCACUUCUAACUAAGGCCAACAAGCCUAAGUUUAACCUGACCCGGCCUCGCGCCGAUCAACGAACCAAGUUACCCCGGGGGUAACAGCGCUAUCUUCUUCAAGAGUCCCUAUCAACAAGAAGGUUUACGACCUCGAUGUUGGAUCAGGACACCCUAAUGGUGCAGCCGCUAUUAACGGUUCGUUUGUUCAACGAUUAACAGUCCU
rnacentral:rRNA from 1 species